rnacentral:lncRNA from 12 species
GGAUUUAUCAGUAGGCACGUGUCAUCUUUGGCGAAGGGAAACUGAAAACGCAUCUCCCGUGGGACCCCGGUGCCCGUCGCCACCUCUCGGCCCUGCGGCUGACCCCGGGGGACACGGAGAGGGAAGUCGUGCCCGUGAGCCCGCCCGGUUCCAGGGUGCGCUGGCCUCCGCAAGCCAUGCCGUCGGGAGCUUCGGGAACAAUCCGGGGAAGGCCUCGGCUCCGUGUCUCGGCACACGGCCCCUGGGGAAGGAAAACUCCCUCUGGCAAACCCCACCUUCCUUCCCGUGUGUGGCGUGGCGGCAGCUGAGGGCCCCCAGGGUCAGGCCCAGAGUCUGCUUCGCGGGGACCUGCUGGCUGUCCUCCCGCUCCGCGUCUCCGAGCCCUAGGGGACAGGCCAUUGCUGGACUCCCGGGCACCGUUGUCUCCCCUCCCCAAGGAUUUGCCAGGAGGCCACCCCCAGGAGGAUCUUAAAGGCAAGCAAACCCGGUGCUGGGUGGGCUUUGGCAGCUCCUCGGGCAUCCAGGACCACCUUUGAUCUGGGACCUCGCUCCCGGUGGCCCCGGGCACCACAACGGAUUUGGCAAAAUUGCUGCUCGGUGGCCUGACCGUCAGCCCACGAUGUCUGGACAGUCCCGGACAGAGCCGGUGACUCGCUCGGGCCGCGCCGUGAGACCUAAAGCAAAGCAGGAUUCCAGGGACACAUUUACGACCGUCAUAAUUGUGAGUUAGAGAUCUCCCAGGCCAAGUGAAAUGAAAUUACGAGAAACUGAAAUCUGUUUUAAUUGGAGCAUUUAUGGAAAAAAAGAAGUCAGACUGGCUGCUUUUUCCUUUAUGUGGCUCUCCGGUUCGGGGCCAUACCUGCGUCCGGGAGCCUGGGCCGGCCAGACUCGGGCGGCCACAGAGCAGGGAGGAAGAGAGAGAGAGAAGAGAGAGAGAAUGAGGCAGAGACAGCCCUGCCCCUCCUCGGCCACCCUGCAGGCUGUGCCCAGCCGGCACUUCCUCCUCUUUCCCGGGAAACACUCCCGGCUUCCCGCUGCCGGGCGCCUCUCGGAGACGCUGUGGAGACGGCGAGCGGGACUCCUGCGCCCACGGGAUGCUCUCUGGAGUGCCGGGCAGGUGGUCCCUGGCGGGCGGGGGGCAUGGCCUGCCGGCCCACCCCGCUCCCCCUCCACACACACACCAUGCAGUGCCGGGGCUGGGGGAGUCCUUGCACACCUUCCAGCAUCAUGGCACAGAUGGAGAAACUGAGGCACAGAGAGGCUCCACGUUCCCAGGCCUCUUCUCUCCCUCCGCCCCCCACCACCGGGGCCAAACAUCCAGCCCCGUAAGUCCUCCAGGUGAAAACGGGCAUCCCGGCCACCGCCCUGCUGGGAAAUAAGCCUUCUGCGGAAGCACCCGCUGCACAUUUGCUAAAUUAAUGAAAAAGGAACUGCACGGGGUGAGUCGAUGCCCCGGCUCGGUGUGUCCGGAGUGGGGGCUCUCACAGCCGGCCUCCCCCUCUGUCAGACACCGGGGUGGCCGUGCCCUCCCCGGGGAGCAGGAUGCUCCUUUGUUCUGCGAGCUGGGUUUCCCAGGUGAGCGCCACCCCCUUCCCAGCAAAAGAGACAGGGGGUCUGCAUUGUCGCCCCGCACGGUGCCCGGCCCCCUGGAGGGGCUCGGCCGACCUGUGUUCAAUCCUCGGGACGUGACACAGGCUCGUUUUCCUCUUGGAAGAGCACGAAGGAGUUUCUAGAAACCACUGCGCUGGGGUGCCCUGGAGAGCCGCACGGGCGAGGCACCCAGGGGCCAGGGGUGGAGGUGCUGAGACUGAGCCCCGAGCUUUCUGUGCAGCCUCAGAUCCUGACGGAGACCCAACCCCGGAGGGGCAGGGGGCAGGGAGCAGCCGACGGCUGGACCUUUACUUGGUGUCGUCUGACCGCGGGGACUUGGCUGAUGUACGAGAAGCCCCUGCGAGAGAUGAGCCAGGCGUGGACGGGGUGGGUGAGGGUGACCGUGGCCGUGGCCCAGACAGGGGCGGAGCUGGGGGGGACACGGGGAGGAGCCCAGGCUGCAGCGGGGAGGGGAGGGCGGGGGUGAGCGUGAGUUGCUGGCCUGCCGGGUUUCAGAUUUGGGCCCAAGUGGGGGUGGGGGGGAGCAAAGAGAAGAGGACCCCGGAGGCCGGCGAGCCUGAGUCUGCGCAGGGCCAACGUCUGCGCUCUGGACCCUCGGCCUGGGAAGUGAGCGUCCGCCGUGGCAGGCGACAGGCCAAAAGCUCAUACCUGCCGUGCUGUUGUGAUUAUUAAAAAUCAGAUCCCGGGCAGCCCUGGUGGCCCAGCGGUUUAGCGCCGCCUUCAGCCCAGGGCGUGAUCCUGGAGUCCUGGGAUCGAGUCCCACAUCGGGCUCCCCGCAUGGAGCCUGCUUCUCCCUCUGCCUGUGUCUCUGCCUCUCUCUCUCUCUCUCUCUCUCUCUCUCUCUCUCUGUGUGUGUGUCUCUCACGAAUAAAAUAAAUAAAAUCUUUAAAUAAAAAGAAAAA